CAGAAUAGGAGGGCUGAGCUUGGCCAGCUCAGAACUACCUUAGCUGCUAGAGGAGACCUCUGAGGAAGACUGAGGAAAGAGUACGCUGUGAACCGCCGCUGGUGUGUGUACUCAGGCUACUCUCAACUCAGGUCUCCAGAUCCUGUGAAGAGGAAGCAGGUGGGUGCUCCCGGCCUAGCAUCUUCCCCAGAGAAGUUUGCUCUCAGGACUUGACUCCCUUUCUGUGGCUUCCGAUUUAGUGGCUGUGGUAAAGCCAAGCGUGGUCCCUCCCAGUUUUACCACUAGAUGGUCACUUAAGUUGCUGGAAAGACUGAUAGGAUGCAGCUGCAGAGGUUGAGAGAGGCAGGGCUCCCAUCGGUUUCAGUGACUUUCACACAGCUGCAUCCAGGGGCCUCUCUAGGCGGCUGAGUCUUGCCACACUAAAGGGUGAGUCUGAGAAUGAGCCACAAGGACAUCACACUUCCACUCAGGGACGCUUUAAAAGUCCCCCCAUGAGUUAGGGUGAAGGUUCAAAUAGGAAAAUGAGAAGGGCAAAGGGGAGGGUCCCGGGGAACAAAGAGAUGUGUCAUUACUAAUUAGCAGCUGAAGGAAGGCGGAAGGUGGAGAGAGGAAGCUAAAACAUAGCGGGAUCUCAGCCUCCUGGCGCAGUCGCAGUCUCAGUCGAUGUAGAGACCGCUGCCCUGACAGACAGGGUCCUCUCCAUGCAGAUGCCCUGUGAGCCUAGAAGUGCUGGCUGGGAUUCAGCGACCUGUUCUCCUCUCUGAUCUCAUUAUUUGGAACCCUUGAGUAGGAGUUGCCCAAUACCUGCUGAGAAUCUAGAACCCAAACUAGUCUGUGGGAGGAAAGACCAGGGGUGGCAUGGGGGUGUACCUUCCUGAUGUCACGUUCUCACCCCAACCUAGCAGAGAUCCAGAGAGAGGACCAGGAGCUCUUGGGGCUGUUGAAGGUUCACCGACUGAAUUUUGCUUAUGAACAAUCAUGUCAACCCACCAUCUGCUUGCAACUGUCAGUCCACUCUUAAGUCAAAUUCUUGCUGAACUGCCCCUGUAGAUAAUUUAAGAUCUUGACUUCUCACCCUGUUAACCUGUCUUGUUCUCCUGGGCCUCAGAGCUCAGUUUCUGAAGCUAGGCAGGCCUUCACCUGGAAAUCCUCCUGGCUCAGUCUCCUGCAUAGCUGAAGUGUACCUGAGACACUAUAUGCAGCUUCACUCCUCAGGCCUUGGCUGUCUUUCCAGCCUGUUGGUGCACAUACCCAGAUUCACUGAGGUCAGUCUUAAACCCAGAGGUGAGGUCUGCAUGUGUGGUGCCUUCAUUCUCACGCUGGAUGGAAUGGUUAACAGAAACAAGCAAACCCCAUCUUACUUCUUUUUUUCUCUACAUUCUUCCAAACAGGAGGAACCAACCUCAGCAAAUGGGAUUGUUUAUUUCACAGUGGUGAAGGGCGGACGCAAUGGGCAUGACAGCUCACACUCUUGGUUGUCAGCUUAGUGACAUGCAAGGUUAACUAAACCCAAGCAGCUGAGCACACCUGUGAGGAAUUCUCUUCAUCCAAUCCAGGAAGACCUGGCUUUGUGCCUGGAGCAUCCCUCAUGCGACUGCAUGGUGGGGGUGGGGUGGGGGUGGGGUCAGUAAAGGGCUUGGAGGUGAAGCACUCUGGAGACAGUUUCAGGGAUUGGCUUCUGCUGUAUUGCACAUGAGCAGCUGUUUAUCUUGUGGAAGCCUAUCGGCUGUGAUUGGUUAGCACAUUACCUCAGAUUGGACUCAUAUUGCCUGGGUCUCUGUGCAGAAGAAGCACACAAACAGACUUGGAGAAUGCAGAUGCAUCAGCAGGCCAGCUACCACCUACGGAUGCUACUUCAGCAUUCCGUGUUCUGACUCUCGGAAUACCCAGGAGCAUGGUGUGCCAGGUGUCUCUCUUAGAAGCAGUGUGCUCGUAGUCCGACUGCCAGGUCAGGCGUGCAUUUUUUCCUACAGAGACCCACCCUAAAUCUGCAUCUUUUGAAGUGGGAGUAUCUACCUUAAAUCUGGACCACACCUUCUGGUGGCAAACUCCAUAAAGGACAUGGAAGAAGGACGCUUUCGCUCUUUGCCUGCUUGCCUUGCUCUUCCCUCAUUGCUCUUUCAGCCUACGUAUACUGAAGACCAGCGGAGACAUCCAGGCUCGAGGACUGAACAAGUACUGGGUUCUUGGACUUUACUUUGGAGACAGCCAUUGUCAAACUAGCUGAACCACAGCCUGUAAGCCACUCUAAUAAAUCAGAUAUGAUUUACUCU
rnacentral:lncRNA from 1 species